rnacentral:rRNA from 1 species
AGUGAACGCUGGCGGUAGGCCUAACACAUGCAAGUCAAACGGCAGCACAGUAAGAGCUUGCUCUUACGGGUGGCGAGUGGCGGACGGGUGAGGAAUACAUCGGAAUCUACUUUUUCGUGGGGGAUAACGUAGGGAAACUUACGCUAAUACCGCAUACGACCUACGGGUGAAAGCAGGGGAUCUUCGGACCUUGCGCGAUUGAAUGAGCCGAUGUCGGAUUAGCUAGUUGGCGGGGUAAAGGCCCACCAAGGCGACGAUCCGUAGCUGGUCUGAGAGGAUGAUCAGCCAAACUGGAACUGAGACACGGUCCAGACUCCUACGGGAGGCAGCAGUGGGGAAUAUUGGACAAUGGGCGCAAGCCUGAUCCAGCCAUACCGCGUGGGUGAAGAAGGCCUUCGGGUUGUAAAGCCCUUUUGUUGGGAAAGAAAAGCAGCAGGUUAAUACCCCGCUGUUCUGACGGUACCCAAAGAAUAAGCACCGGCUAACUUCGUG